rnacentral:rRNA from 1 species
GACGUAGGGUGCGAGCGUUGUCCGGAAUCACUGGGCGUAAAGAGCUCGUAGGCGGGGUCGUGCGUCGUGGAGUAAAUUUCCAUGCUCAACGUGGAAAUCUUCUGCGAUACGGCGACUCUUGAGGACAGAAGAGGAAAGCGGAAUUCCGAGUGUAGCGGUGAAAUGCGUAGAUAUUCGGAGGAACACCGGUGGCGAAGGCGGCUUUCUGGUCUGAUUCUGACGCUGAGGAGCGAAAGCCAGGGGAGCAAACGGG